CGCAUGGUUUUCUUUUAAAAGAUGGCUCUGCUAUCACUUCUGGAUGGACCCGCGGCGUAUUAGCUAGUUGGUGAGGUAAAGGCUCACCAAGGCAGUGAUACGUAGCCGACCUGAGAGGGUAAUCGGCCACAUUGGGACUGAGACACGGCCCAGACUCCUACGGGAGGCAGCAGUAGGGAAUCUUCCACAAUGGACGCAAGUCUGAUGGAGCAACGCCGCGUGAGUGAAGAAGGGUUUCGGCUCGUAAAGCUCUGUUGUUAAAGAAGAACGUGGGUAAGAGUAACUGUUUACCCAGUGACGGUAUUUAACCAGAAAGCCACGGCUAACUACGUGCCAGCAGCCGCGGUAAUACGUAGGUGGCAAGCGUUAUCCGGAUUUAUUGGGCGUAAAGCGAGCGCAGGCGGUCUUUUAAGUCUAAUGUGAAAGCCUUCGGCUCAACCGAAGAAGUGCAUUGGAAACUGGGAGACUUGAGUGCAAAAGAGGACAGUGGAACUCCAUGUGUAGCGGUGAAAUGCGUAAAUAUAUGGAAGAACACCAGUGGCGAAGGCGGCUGUCUGGUCUGCAACUGACGCUGAGGCUCGAAAGCAUGGGUAGCGAACAGGAUUAGAUACCCUGGUAGUCCAUGCCGUAAACGAUGAUUACUAAGUGUUGGAGGGUUUCCGCCCUUCAGUGCUGCAGCUAACGCAUUAAGUAAUCCGCCUGGGGAGUACGACCGCAAGGUUGAAACUCAAAAGAAUUGACGGGGGCCCGCACAAGCGGUGGAGCAUGUGGUUUAAUUCGAAGCUACGCGAAGAACCUUACCAGGUCUUGACAUCUUCUGACAGUCUAAAAGAUUAGAGGUUCCCUUC
rnacentral:rRNA from 1 species